rnacentral:antisense_RNA from 23 species
AUCAAUGGGUGGGCCUUGGCAGGGAGACCUUCGGGUCUGCCGGUUGCCUCCUAUGCCGGUUCGCCAACCCUGCCUUGUGCCCGCCCGCCCAU